rnacentral:rRNA from 1 species
UGCAGCCGAGCGGUAGAGUCUCUUCGGAGACUUGAGAGCGGCGCACGGGUGCGGAACACGUGUGCAACCUGCCUUUAUCAGGGGGAUAGCCUUUCGAAAGGAAGAUUAAUACCCCAUAAUAUAUUGAGUGGCAUCACUUGAUAUUGAAAACUACGGUGGAUAGAGAUGGGCACGCGCAAGAUUAGAUAGUUGGUAGGGUAACGGCCUACCAAGUCAAUGAUCUUUAGGGGGCCUGAGAGGGUGAUCCCCCACACUGGUACUGAGACACGGACCAGACUCCUACGGGAGGCAGCAGUGAGGAAUAUUGGACAAUGGGUGAGAGCCUGAUCCAGCCAUCCCGCGUGAAGGACGACGGCCCUAUGGGUUGUAAACUUCUUUUGUAUAGGGAUAAACCUUUCCUCGUGAGGAAAGCUGAAGGUACUAUACGAAUAAGCACCGGCUAACUCCGUGCCAGCAGCCGCGGUAAUACGGAGGGUGCAAGCGUUAUCCGGAUUUAUUGGGUUUAAAGGGUCCGUAGGCGGAUCUGUAAGUCAGUGGUGAAAUCUCAUAGCUCAACUAUGAAACUGCCAUUGAUACUGCAGGUCUUGAGUAAGGUAGAAGUAGCUGGAAUAAGUAGUGUAGCGGUGAAAUGCAUAGAUAUUACUUAGAACACCAAUUGCGAAGGCAGGUUACUAUGUCUUAACUGACGCUGAUGGACGAAAGCGUGGGGAGCGAACAGGAUUAGAUACCCUGGUAGUCCACGCCGUAAACGAUGCUAACUCGUUUUUGGGCUUUCGGGUUCAGAGACUAAGCGAAAGUGAUAAGUUAGCCACCUGGGGAGUACGUUCGCAAGAAUGAAACUCAAAGGAAUUGACGGGGGCCCGCACAAGCGGUGGAUUAUGUGGUUUAAUUCGAUGAUACGCGAGGAACCUUACCAAGGCUUAAAUGGGAAUUGAUCGGUUUAGAAAUAGACCUUUCCCUUCGGGCAAUUUUCAAGGUGCUGCAUGGUUGUCGUCAGCUCGUGCCGUGAGGUGUUAGGUUAAGUCCUGCAACGAGCGCAACCCCUGUCACUAGUUGCCAUCAUUCAGUUGGGGACUCUAGUGAGACUGCCUACGCAAGUAGAGAGGAAGGUGGGGAUGACGUCAAAUCAUCACGGCCCUUACGCCUUGGGCCACACACGUAAUACAAUGGCCAGUACAGAGGGCUGCUACCAGGCGACUGGAUGCUAAUCUCGAAAGCUGGUCUCAGUUCGGAUUGGAGUCUGCAACUCGACUCUAUGAAGCUGGAAUCGCUAGUAAUCGCGCAUCAGCCAUGGCGCGGUGAAUACGUUCCCGGGCCUUGUACACACCGCCCGUCAAGCCAUGGAAGUCUGGGGUACCUGAAGUCGGUGACCGUAACAGGAGCUGC